GAUGAACGCUGGCGGCGUGCCUAAUACAUGCAAGUCGAACGAACAGACGAUGAGCUUGCUCCUCUCACGUUAGCGGCUGACGGGUGAGUAACACGUGUAUAACCUACUUAUAAUACUGGGAUAACUUCGGAACACCGGAUCUAAUACCGGAUAAUAUAUUGAACCGCAUUGUUCAAUAGUUAAAUUCGGUUUUGCUGUCACUUAUCGAUGGUUACGCGCCGCAUGAGCUAGUUGGUAAGGUAACGGCUUACCAAGGCGACGAUGCGUAGCCGACCUGAGAGGGUGAUCGGCCACACUGGAACUGAGACACGGUACAGAGUCCUAAGGGAGGCAGCAGUAGGGAAUGUUCGGCAAUGGGCGGAAGCCUGAAGGAGCAACGCCGCGUGAGUGAAGAAGGUCUUCGGAUCGUAAAACUCUGUUAUUGGGGAAGAACAAAUGUGUAAGUAAAUAUGCAUGUGUUGACGGUACCUAAACAGAAAGCCACGGCUAACUACGUG
rnacentral:rRNA from 1 species